CCUACGGGUGGCAGCAGUGGGGAAUAUUGCACAAUGGGGGAAACCCUGAUGCAGCGACGCCGCGUGAGUGAGGAAGUAUUUCGGUAUGUAAAGCUCUAUCAGCAGGGAAGAAGCAAGACGGUACCUGACUAAGAAGCCCCGGCUAACUACGUGCCAGCAGCCGCGGUAAUACGUAGGGGGCAAGCGUUAUCCGGAUUUACUGGGUGUAAAGGGAGCGUAGACGGUAUGGCAAGUCUGAAGUGAAAGCCCCGGGCUUAACCCUGGGACUGCUUUGGAAACUGUUAGACUAGAGUGCUGGAGAGGUAAGUGGAAUUCCUAGUGUAGCGGUGAAAUGCGUAGAUAUUAGGAGGAACACCAGUGGCGAAGGCGGCUUACUGGACAGUAACUGACGUUGAGGCUCGAAAGCGUGGGGAGCAAACAGGAUUAGAUACCCUUGUAGUC
rnacentral:rRNA from 1 species